GCGCAUUANCUAGUUGGUGGGGUAACGGCUACCAAGGCGACGAUGCGUAGCCGACCUGAGAGGGUGAACGGCCACACUGGGACUGAUACACGGCCCAGACUCCUACGGGAGGCAGCAGUANGGAAUCUUCCGCAAUGGGCGAAAGCCUGACGGAGCAACGCCGCGUGAGUGAUGAAGGUUUUCGGAUCGUAAAGCUCUGUUGCCAGGGAAGAACGUCCAGGUUAGAGUAACUGUCUACCGGAGUGACGGUACCUGAGAAGAAAGCCCCGGUNUAAUCUACGUGCCAGCAGCCGCGGUAAUACGUAUGGUGGUGCAAUGCGUUGUCCGGAAUUAUGAGGCGUAAAGCGCGCGCAGGCUGCUGCUUAAUUCUGGUGUUUAAACCUUGGGCUCAACCUGNGCGUCGCACUGGCACAUAUCUGGGCAGCUUGCAUGUUACAAGACAGAGGACCCGCUGGAAUUCCAUCGUGUANGNGGUGAAAUGCGUAGAGAUGUGGANGAACACCAGUGGCGAAGGCGACUUUCUGGGCUGUAACUGACGCUAGGCGCUGAAAUGCGUGGGGAGCAAACCGGAUUAUGAUACCCUGNCUAGCUCCACGCCGUAAACGAUAGAGGUGCUAGGGUGUUAGGGGGGUUUCGACUACCCCUUUGUGCCCGACAGUUUACACACGAGUAAAGCNACUCCGCCCUGGGGAGCUACGGGUCGGAAGACUGAACAACUCCAAGGACCUGACGGGGACCGGAUAAAGCAGUGGGGGUAUGUGGGUCUAAAUUCGAAGCAACGCGAAGAACCCUUACCAGGUCNUGACAUCCAGCGUAACGAANGCAGAGCANUCAUUAUAGUGCCUCGGGGAAAGU
rnacentral:rRNA from 1 species